rnacentral:lncRNA from 1 species
UCUUCAUAAAUGUCUCAUAAAAAUCCAAUCUAAAAACAUAGUCAUAAAUCUUCUAAAACAAUACGUAAGGAAUAGAAAAGCAAUAACAAAGUUCCCAUCCCGUUACGUAUCAGAGCACCUAGGACACACGAGAGAGAAAGCUCACACGACAUCAACUAUUCUUGGUUACCUGCAAGUUACUCAUACGAAGAGCAACAUUUCCAAGCAGAAGGGGUGAGAUUUCACAAAACAAUAAUAUCAAG